GACGAACGCUGGCGGCGUGCUUAACACAUGCAAGUCGAACGGAAAGGCCCUGCUUUUGUGGGGUGCUCGAGUGGCGAACGGGUGAGUAACACGUGAGUAACCUGCCCUUGACUUUGGGAUAACUUCAGGAAACUGGGGCUAAUACCGGAUAGGAGCUCCUGCUGCAUGGUGGGGGUUGGAAAGUUUCGGCGGUGGGGGAUGGACUCGCGGCUUAUGAGCUUGUUGGUGGGGUAGUGGCUUACCAAGGCUUUGACGGGUAGGCGGCAUGAGAGGGUGGCCGGCCACAUUGGGACUGAGAUACGGCGCAGACGGCUACGGGAGGCAGCAGUGGGGAAUAUUGCACAAUGGGCGGAAGCCUGAGGCAGCAACGCCGCGUGCGGGAUGACGGCCUUCGGGUUGUAAACAGCUGUCGCCUGUGACGAAGCGGGAGUGACGGUAAUGGGUAAAGAAGCACCGGCUAACUACGUG
rnacentral:rRNA from 1 species